AUGGGAUCCGGUCCAUUAGUGCUGGUAUGAUCGCAUCUGUUACUACAUGCAAUGCAAUCGUAUCUAUUCUUUUUUGAAGAUUUUAUGAUCCAUUUGCCGUCGGUCCUACCAUCUAUGUAGGAAUACCCUUUCUUGUUUAUAAGAGCUUUGAUACAUACUAAAUAUUCGAAAACAAUGUCCGAACAUAUAAUUUCCGCCCCAUAAUAUAGCAAAGAUCACAAAAAGGCCCGAAAAAGUACAUUAAGGUCAAAAGGUGGAGUAGAAAAAAAAAACAAUAGAAGAAUUCCAUUUUUCUUCCUCAUUCAUCAGAGAACUCUCUUUAGACUUUCCGAAAAGGUAUCACAUGCCAAGUGUUUGGCAUCACGGUCUAAAAGUUCUAGAGUCAUACAUUUUUGACAAAAGAAAAAGAGAAAAACCGAAAAAAAAGAGGGAUGCAACACGAGGACUUUCCUGGAGGUCACCCAUCCUAAUACUACUCUCGCCCAAGCAGGCUUAACUGCGGAGUUCAAAUGGGAUCUGGUGCAUUAGUGCUUGUAUGAUCGCAUUCGUUACUACAUGCAAUGCAAUCGUAUGUAUUCUUUUUUGAAGACUUUAUGAUCCAUUUGCCGUGGGUCCCACCAUCUAUGUAGGAAUACCCUUUCUUGUUUAGAAGAGCUUUGAUACAUGCUAAAUAUUCGAAAACAAUGUCCAAACAUAUAAUUUUCGCCCGGUAAUAUAGCAAAGAUCACGAAAAGGCCCGAAAAUGUACAUUAAGGUCAAAAUUUGGAGUAGAAAAAAAAAGCAAUAGAAGAAUUCCAUUUUCCUUCCUCAUUCAUCGGAGAGCUCUCUUUAGGCUUUCCGAAAAGGUAUCACAUGCCAAGUUUGGCCUCACGGUCUAAAAGUUCUAGAGUCAUACAUUUUUGACAAAAAAAAAAAGAGAAAAACCAAAAACAAAUAGGGAUGCAACACGUGGACUUUCCUGGACGUCACCCAUCCUAGUACUACUCUCGCCCAAGCACGCUUAACUGCGGAGUUUUGAUGGGAUCUGGUGCAUUAGUGCUGGUAUGAUCGCAUCCGUUACUACAUGCAAUGCAAUCGUAUAUAUUCUUUUUUGAAGACUUUAUGUUCGAUUUGCCGUGGGUCCCACAAGCUAUCUAGGAAUACCCUAUCUUGUUUAUAAGAGAUUUGAUACAUGCAAAAUAUUCGAAAACAAUGUCCGAACAUAUAAUUUUCGCCCCGUAAUAUAGCAAAGAUCACGAAAAGGCCCGAAAAAGUACAUUAAGGUCAAAAGUUGGAGUAGAAAAAAACACAAUAGAAGAAUUCCAUUUUCCUUCCUCAUUCAUCGGAGAGCUCUCUUUGGGCUUUCCGAAAAGGUAUCACAUGCCAAGUUUGGCCUCAUGGUCUAAAAGUUUCAGAGUCAUACAUUGUUAACAAUAAAAAAAAGAGAAAAACCGAAAAAAAGAGGGAUGCAACACGAGGACUUUCCUAGAGGUCACCAAUCCUAGUACUACUCUCGCCCAAGCACGCUUAACUGCGGAGUUCUGAUGGGAUCCGGUCCAUUAGUGCUGGUAUGAUCGCAUCUGUUACUACAUGCAAUGCAAUCGUAUCUAUUCUUUUUUGAAGAUUUUAUGAUCCAUUUGCCGUCGGUCCUACCAUCUAUGUAGGAAUACCCUUUCUUGUUUAUAAGAGCUUUGAUACAUACUAAAUAUUCGAAAACAAUGUCCGAACAUAUAAUUUCCGCCCCAUAAUAUAGCAAAGAUCACAAAAAGGCCCGAAAAAGUACAUUAAGGUCAAAAGUUGGAGUAGAAAAAAAA
rnacentral:sRNA from 1 species